GACGGGGGGGGCUAGUGUUAUUCGGAAUGACUAGGCGUAAAGGGCACGUAGGCGGUGAAUCCGGUUGAAAGUGAAAGUCGCCAGCUCAACUGGCGGAAUGCUUUCAAAACCAAUUCACUUGAGUAAGAUAGAGGAUAGUGGAAUUUCGUGUGUAGAGAUAAAAUUCACAGAUAUUCGGAAGAACACCAGUGGCGAAGGCGACUUACUGGACACAUAUUGACGCUGAGGUGCGAAAGCGUGGGGAGCAAACAGG
rnacentral:rRNA from 1 species